rnacentral:misc_RNA from 1 species
UGCUGAGAGUGGAAUUGGUGGGCAUUAUGGGGUUGUUUGAAGAUGUACUCGUUUCAUCGACCUCCAAAGCAGCAGCGGAGAAGAUUGUGUGGUCGCCAGCUGAUUUCUUAAGGUUCUCUGGCAGGAUAUGCUCCAGACUUUCAUGGAGAUCACUUUCUUCAGGGUUGGUCUUCUCCUCCAUGCUACUAAUACUAUUGCUUUUGCUAUUGCCGUUACUGUCAU